UCUCGGGACCCCUGAAGAACGUCCGGAAGCGGCGGUUCAGGAGAACAGCCAAGAAGAAGUACAUUGAGUCUCCAGACAUUGAGAAGGAAGUGAAGAGGCUGCUGAGUACCGAUGCUGAAGCCGUCAAUGUCCGCUGGGAGCUUGUUGCUGAAGAGGAAAACAAGGAAGUGCGUAAUCCCAGCUCCCUCUUGAAAUCUGACGUCUCUCCAGGAAUAUCUAACUGCAAGU